AACGAACGCUGGCGGCAUGCCUAACACAUGCAAGUCGAACGAGACCUUCGGGUCUAGUGUCGCACGGGUUCGUAACGCGUGGGAACCUGCCCUUAGGUUCGGAAUAACUCCCCGAAAGGGGUGCUAAUACCGGAUAAUGUCUUCGGACCAAAGAUUUAUCGCCUUUGGAUGGGCCCGCGUUGGAUUAGCUAGUUGGUAGGGUAAAAGCCUACCAAGGCGACGAUCCAUAGCUGGUCUGAGAGGAUGAUCAGCCACACUGGGACUGAGACACGGCCCAGACUCCUACGGGAGGCAGCAGUGGGGAAUAGUGGACAAUGGGCGAAAGCCUGAUCCAGCAAUGCCGCGUGAGUGAUGAAGGCAUUAGGGUUGUAAAGCUCUUUUACCCGGGAUGAUAAUGACAGUACCGGGAGAAUAAGCUCCGGCUAACUCCGUG
rnacentral:rRNA from 1 species